CCCUUAGAUGUUCUGGGCCGCACGCGCGCUACACUGACGAUGGCAACGAGUUUUUCCUUCGCCGAAAGGUGUGGGUAAUCUUUUGAAACAUCGUCGUGCUGGGGAUAGAUCAUUGCAAUUUUUGAUCUUGAACGAGGAAUUCCUAGUAAGCGCGAGUCAUCAGCUCGCGUUGAUUACGUCCCUGCCCUUUGUACACACCGUCCGUCGCUACUACCGAUUGAAUGGUUUAGUGAGGACUCCUGAUUGGCGCCGCCGCCCCGGCAACGGAGCAGCGGACUGCCGAAAAGUUGUUCAAACUUGAUCAUUUAGAGGAAGUAAAAGUCGUAACA
rnacentral:rRNA from 1 species